CUGAUGGAAGUUUGUAAACUAUAUAAACCCCAGGGAGUAACGGCUAAAACAAAGUUGCAGAGCUGGGGUCUCACCCUACCUCCAUCUUCAAGCUCCAAGCUCCUUACAUUCAGAAACCGAUCUUUAGGCAUGAAGAAGCAGCCAGGAGCCACAACCAAAGGCCUCAGAGAGUUCUAGCUUGGCAUCUUCCAGAGGGGCCUUGGUUCUUCCGUUCUGCAAAUGAUGUCGUGCCCCUUUUCUCAGUGUGGAGGUAGAGAGCUUAUUAUCAUCCAGGCCUGGUCCUGACCUGAGGUAGCUUCCUAGGGGAAGUGUACCUUACACAAGGGAGAAUUCAAACAGGAUGUUUCAAGAGAAUUGUCAGUGCAGUAAGGAACACAAAAUGGACCUAAGAAUAAAGGCAUCUGUGAUGGUUUGUAUAUUCUUGGGCCAGGGAGUGGCACCAUUUGGAGGUGUGACCUGGUUGGAGUAGGUGUGUCACUAUGGGUGUGGGCUUAAGAUCCUCACCCUAGUUGCCUGGAAGUCAGUCUUCCACUAGCAGCCUUUGGAUGAAGAUGUAGAACUCUCAGCUCUGCCUGUGCCAUGCCUGCCUGGAUGCUGCUGUGCUCUCACCUUGAUGACAAUGGACUGAACCUCUGACUGAACCUGUCUUUAACUGACUGCGUGAGACCCACCCACAUUGGGAGGUAAUCUGCUGUACUCAUACUGUCUAUUCAAGUGUUAAGCACAUUCAGAAACAGUUUCAUGGGCACACCAAGGAUAAUGUUUAACCAAAUAUCUGGAUACCCGCCACUCCAUGGAGAUGAGACAUAACAUGGCUUACCACAGUGGGUGAUGGUUCCUCUCUUGAGGUUUGAGUGCUGUUUCCCCCAUGAUCCAACUCAAAGUCUUCACUGCAUUCUGCAAGGAGUGCAGUUCAUAAACAGUGUUGUGCGUCUCUCAAGUUGCACACCAGCAGGUCAAUUUGAAGAUUGACAUCUUCAUCAUAUUGAUCUUCUGGUCCAUGAAGACUGGCCUAUGUGUGACUUUGCCUACGGUUUCUUGACUCUGGCUGGCUGGCAUUUUAUACUCUCCAGUCUGUAGCUGCUGAAGUACCUGUAUUAAAUGUAAUCUUAGGUGUUGGCUUGAGACUACGAUUAACCCAUUAUUUAUAAAAUAUGGAGAUCUCUUGGGUGUGUGCACCGAUCAUGCCCCCUAUAAAUACUGACUGCUCCAUUUCAUGCUUCUCAGUCCGUUCAGCCUUUAUUCCUGUUGAAUAGUUUGGUGCAUUGAUCCUAUCGGACGGCCAGUCCAUCUUUGGCUGCACAGGAGGGGAGAACAGAGUCCCAUACUGUGGUACAUUCCGCACUGCUGAGAUGCUCUGAUUAUUCCAUGCACAUUAUUGGACAUUUGAGUGACGUUGAGUCAUUUCAACCUAAUGAACUGAUUGGAAGCUGACUCGCCCCGAGACCUGCUCUCUUCCCAUGCGCCUGUUGGGUAACCACCAGAGAAGACUGCUCAGGCAUGAAUGGACACAAGAACCUGGAAGUCUCGGUACAUGCUGACUGGACCCUAGUGUUUGUCGUGUCAGUAAGACUUGAGGAAAACACUUUGAAGCUGUGUCAUUGAAAUGCACAUUGGCGAGAACAAGCGUCCUGCUGUUGGCAAGAGGAGAGAGCAGUCAACAGAACGCUGAAGAUUCCGAGGCUGGUUCCCAUGAUGCCAUCUGACCACUUGCACCCCAGUCCUCGCUAUCCCUCCAGGGCAUCUUAUCGCAGCCUUGAUGGAGUCUGCACCUUGGCUGCAAAGGGAACACAAACUUCCUCAAGCAACGCAGUGCUGCAGACACAAGAGCCGCUUUCGCUCCAGAUGGGAUCCAAGGCAACUGCUGUGUAGAAACUUCCCUUGGCUUCACUGGUCUUUUCUUUUCUUCUUAUUUUUCCCCCUCCCUCUGUUUCUGCCAAGUUGUUGAUGUCCUGGCUGUCUGGAAAAGACUGCAUUUGAGCAACCAGAGACAACCAGCCUCUUAAGAACGACUACAGCAAGGAAUCUCGUUCUUAGAAAAUUAGUUUGUGCUGCUGUGUUGAUCCUACUGAAAGAAGGGGUGAGGGGAAGACCCUCAAGGCUAAUUUAUAUAAACACACAGUGGGACUAUGAGUCUGCUAGCAUUCCUGUGACUGUCUGAAGUGCGGGUGUGGCUGACAGCAGUGGUCGUUCUAAUUUUAAUUUAGAGACUGAAGGUUUGGGGUGGAUGCAGGAAAAAUAUAAUUAGGGGCUUGCUUUUGUAGUCCAGCAAUCUAGUGUCAUGUUCACUUUUGAAAAUUUGGAAUAUAAAGGCUAAUUGGGCAUCAUUUAACACGGUCAAGACUAGACUAUGAGGUGCUGAUAAGUCGGUGAGCGAUGAAGUGGGCCGAGGAAGCAGAAAAGAGAGAAAUGAGGAAGAUGGGAAAUAGAAAAAGGAGCCACCGAGGGUUGCGGAGCACCGGGAAUCACGAUUACAACAACUUUCUGCUACUUUCCAGGUUGGAAAGCAAUUGACAGAGCCAGUCUGCACCCUGCUGUCACUUUGACUGACUGGCUUCAUCCUGUGAUUGGUUGGUUGGUUAGUUUUUAGCACUGGAAGUUGAACUCAAGAACGUGCACAUGUUAGUCAUGUGAUCUACUACCCAGGUGUCCCCAGUCUAUUUUAAAAAUAUACCUUUUAGUUUCUUACCUUCUAAUUCAGGUUGAGAAUAUAAUUUGUGUGUGUGUGUGUGUGUGUGUGUGUGUGUGUGUGUGUGUGUAUAACUGGCCAUUCCCCCCACCCCCCAUCUGUUUGAGACAGGCUCUCUCUAUGUAGUUCUAUUUUUCCUGGAACUUGAUAAUCACGUAGACCAGGCUGGCCUCAAACUGGUGUCAGCCUCCUGCCUCGACCUCAUGAGUCCUGGGAUUAUAGGGAUGCAGCACCAUGCCCU
rnacentral:lncRNA from 1 species